GACGAACGCUGGCGGCGUGCUUAACACAUGCAAGUCGAACGGAAAGGCCUGCUUUCCCUUGUGGAUUGCGGGUACUCGAGUGGCGAACGGGUGAGUAACACGUGAGUGAUCUGCCCCCAACUUGGGUAUAAGCCUGGGAAACUGGGUCUAAUUCCCGAUAGGACUGCAGGGUGGUGCCUGUGGUGGAAAACGAUUUUCUAGUGGUUGGGGAUGAGCUCGCGGCCUAUCAGCUUGUUGGUGGGGUAAUGGCCUACCAAGGCGGCGACGGGUAGCCGGCCUGAGAGGGUGGACGGCCACAUUGGGACUGAGAUACGGCCCAGACUCCUACGGGAGGCAGCAGUGGGGAAUAUUGCACGAUGGGCGGAAGCCUGAUGCAGCGACGCCGCGUGGGGGAUGACGGCCGUCGGGUUGUAAACUCCUUUCGACCGCGAGGAAGCCACCUGGUUGGAAGGGUGGUGACGGUAGUGGUAGAAGAAGCACCGGCUAACUACGUG
rnacentral:rRNA from 1 species